ACACCCCCUUCUCCAAAUCAAGAAUCAUUCGUGCACCCGCAUCCCCCACUCGCCCCUUCUGAAGCAAAGCAAAGAGAACUCUAGCCCUAGGAUCCUUGCCGCCGCUGUCCCCAGGUUCUCGGCGCCUCCACUUCUUCCUCUUUCCCCGUGUCCGGAACCAGGUAGCUCGACUCGUCAUCCCCAUCUUCCCUGUCUUCUCUGUUCGUGGCUUGGAGCAGCUCGACGUUGGGUCACCGCAUGCCGUUGGGUCGCCGCUUGCCGUCGCCUCGCCUAUCGUCGUCAUCUCGCCGGUUGCCAUCUGUGUCUCCGUAGAAGAAAAGACGUUGAUAAUCUCCACUAACCACAACAAUAACAGGACACAUGUCAUCUCUUCAUUUCCUGGUCAAUCUUAAACCCUAGCCACCAGAGACACAAUUGCAUUUUGAGGGAAUGCACAUGGAGCCUCAACACCCAACAGCGGCCGUCCUCUUGUGUGAAGUGGUGGUGAUGGAGAUCCUCUCUUGGGUUCCUGCAAAGCCUCUCACGCGCCUGAAGCUUGUGUGCAAGUCAUGGAACUCCAUCAUCUCUGACCCUCACUUCGUCAAACUUCACCUUCACCGAUCACCCAAAAAUAACAUCCUCCUCUUUACGCGAACAAAACCGCUCACCCUAGAUGAAGAAAAAAAAUGGGGCUUAGUGUUUAGUAGCGUUGAAUCUUUCAUCCAAAAUCCAUCAUCCACUCUUGAUGCUCAAGAGAAUCGCUACUCUCUACACGUACAAGACUGGGUUGUGGGUUCAUGCAACGGGUUGGUUUGUGUGGCCCAUAUUCUUGACCACCCCAACAACGAUAUUUGCGAUAUCUGGUUGCGUUUAUUGAACCCUCUCACAGGGUUUAUUUCAGAGAACUCGCCGUGCUUACGUGUCAAUAUGCAUAAUGCUUUUGGGUUUGGGUAUGAUGAGUCAAGUGACAGUUACAAGGUACUGGUUAUCAUUUGGGAUUCUUCUGGAACAGUAACUACGCAAGUUUAUAGCUUUGGUGGCAGUUCAUGGAAGAGGAUCAACAGUUUUCCUGCUUUUCCAUUUUCUUCUGAAGAUAAUGGCCACUUCAUCGGUGGCACUCUUAAUUGGCUAGCUCUCCGUAACCCGCAUGGAGCUGAUUAUGAUUGGGAUGCUGUUAUACUUGAUAUGUUAAUGCUUGUUUCUUUUGACCUGAAAUCGGAUACAAGUAAACAGAUUCCGCUUCCAAAGGGUAUCGAUGAGAUCCCCGGUGAAGAGCCAACUCUGGGAGUUUGGGGAAAUAGCCUGUAUCUUCUUCAUGAUUACAAGAACACUCAUUUUAUUGCAUGGCAAAUGAAGGAGUUUGGAGAUGAAAAUUCUUGGACUCAAUUGCUAAAGAUUAGUUUUCAGCAUCUCGGUGUUGAAAGGCUAUUUCCAGGAUUUAUAUUUGAGAAUGGAAAUGUCUUCAUGUUGAGAGGCAAGCAUCGUUUUGAGGAAGUUUUUUAUGACCGAAGAGAUAAUAGUGUUAAACGCGUUAAGAUCUUGUCCAACACUCGUUACGUCAAUGCAUUUGAUUAUGUUGAGAGCUUGGUUCAGCCUUGUUAAAAUUUGGUUCCUAUUCAAAGUUUUGCUUCUGCAGCUUUUUAUUCUGUCAGCAAAGUUCAGGGUCUGGAAAAUGUGACACCAAUGAUUACAAAGAUAGACCAGAAGAGUGCAAUAGAGCUUGAAUCAUAUGGCUUGGGUACAAGAAUGGUACGUAAUUCCUACUAGUAGUAGUUAUAGUGAUUAGAUCUUAGCAUGUUGCAACCUUAAUGUUGAGAACUUUAGAUGAUACAACAUGUGUAGCAUGUUAUUGCAAGCAUAGGAAUGUAAGCAGUGAAGAUUAAGAAUCAAAAUUUUAUAGAACUAGAAGCAGUUAUUAGGUGAUAUAUAUGUGUGGUAAUUCCUUUGCCAAUGUUAUUAGUUCCUUUGAAAUAUUUACUUGUUUUCAUGAUUUCCGUGGGUGCUAUCAUAUCUUAUGGUCAACUAGACAUUUUAUUACAAUAUCUUGUUAUAUUGAAGACCAAGAGCAAUAUUUUUAAUCUUAGUAAUGAUGUUCUGUAUCACGAGAUAUCCAGUGUCAUGUAUGCAAAAGAUUAUGGUCAAUCCUUGGUUCUGGCUUGCAAUUAAGUUCCUUGCAUUUCAUUUAAGGAUACCGAAGAUCAGGGUGCCGUAAAUACUUUUGGUGUUCCCUUAGUUUGACUAACUGUUGUUCCCUUUCAUUCAUCAUGCUAAUUUUGGUUCUAAAUAUGUUGUUGGGUGAAUUUAUUUUCAAUUUAUUCAAGAUAAUGUCAUGAAAAAGUGAGCUAGUAUUUGCAAAUUAUAAUAUAAUGAAGUUAGUUGUGAGUUAGGAUAUUGACACUGAAUCUGUUUUUGAUGUGAAUUGCAAUAUUAACACCCAAUAUGUUUAUCUGUUUAGGGUUUAUUGCAUUAUUGUGGUAGAUAGUAGAGUAUGAUUUAACUUUUUAAAAUUUCAACCCUGUUAAAAUUCAAUUCCUCUUCAGAGUUAUGCUUAUGCAGUUUUUUGUUCUUUUAAGUUAUUUUAAAUGCUUGCCAUUUCAUGUAGGCGUAGGAAAAAGUUGUGGUCAUUGUGAUUAUUUUGGGUGUUUCCUUAUUUUGGCUACUUAUUAUUGUUGGAUCACAGAUUACUUCAAUUUUGGGUGUUUCCUCAUUUUGUUCUGUAAUGUUUGAAGUAAUCUUAUUUAUUAAUUU